AAAGCUCAAAUUUAAAAUCUGGUGGUCUUUGGCCAUCCGAGUUGUAAUUUAGAGAAGCGUCUUCCGCGCUGGACCGUGCACAAGUCUCCUGGAAUGGAGCGUCAUAGAGGGUGAGAAUCCCGUCUUUGGCACGGAUGCACCAGGGCUUUUGUGAUGCGCUCUCGAAGAGUCGAGUUGUUUGGGAAUGCAGCUCAAAAUGGGUGGUGAACUCCAUCUAAAGCUAAAUAUUGGCGAGAGACCGAUAGCGAA
rnacentral:rRNA from 1 species